UUUAAGUGUAGGUGUGGAUUUCUGCGUUCAACGCUUCACCGUCCAUCUUAUUUGAAACUUUUUAUAAUUAGUAUUUUUAUUAUUAUUAGAUGAUAAAAUAUGAAUAUUACUUUAUACAUGAUUUUUUUAAUUCUUUUUAUAAAUUUUUUAAAUAAGACGGAAUGUCAAACGUUAGACACAGAAACCUACAACUGCAUUUAAA
rfam:Oryza barthii chromosome 1, whole genome shotgun sequence.